rnacentral:rRNA from 1 species
AUACGGAGGAUGCGAGCGUUAUCCGGAUUUAUUGGGUUUAAAGGGAGCGUAGGUGGGAUAUUAAGUCAGCUGUGAAAGUUUGGGGCUCAACCUUAAAAUUGCAGUUGAUACUGGUUUCCUUGAGUACGGUACAGGUGGGCGGAAUUCGUGGUGUAGCGGUGAAAUGCUUAGAUAUCACGAAGAACUCCGAUCGCGAAGGCAGCUCACCGGGCCGGAACUGACACUGAUGCUCGAAAGUGCGGGUAUCAAACAGGAUUAGAUACCCUGGUAGUCCGCACAGUAAUCGAUGAAUACUCGCUGUAUGCGAUACACGGUAAGCGGCCAAGCGAAAGCGUUAAGUAUUCCACCUGGGGAGUCCGCCGGCAACGGUGAAACUCAAAGGAAUUGACGGGG